UCGCCCUGUUUUUCAAAAACAUAGCCCAAAGAUUUAUUUUGGGUAAAUUCUGCCCAGCGUAAUUUAUUAGCGGCCGCAGUACUUUGACUGUGCUAAGGUAGCAUAAUCAAUUGGCUUUUAAUUGUAGUCUGGAAUGAAAGGACUAAUAGGGGUUAGCUGUCUCUAUACUAUUAUUUUGAAUUUAUUUAUUAAGUGAAAAUACUUAUACAAAGAAAAAAGACGAGAAGACCCUUAGAAUUUUAAUAAAAUAUUUAAUAAUUUUUUUUUGUUGGGGCGACAUUGAAACAAUUAAACUUUCAUUAACAAUCAAGACAUUUAGGUUUGAAAGAAUAAAUUACCUUAGGGAUAACAGCAUAAUUAAUUAUUUAGUUUGUGACCUCGAUGUUGGACUAGGAACUAGAAGAUUAACCGUCUAAAUAGAUGUCGUCGA
rnacentral:rRNA from 1 species